AUUUGAGGCAGCAUGCUGGGGGCUGGAACUCUGGGGUCCAGGAGACAGAGGGUCUGGUGACUGGAUAUAGGGGGACGGUUUCCAGGCUCAUGGUGAUAAAGAGUGUCUUCGAGGUCCUCAUCCUGCCCCUAUUCCUCGGCGCAGUUCUCUUCUCCUUGGGCCGAGGGGCCCUAGUCAGCUUUUAGGAGUUAAUGUUUAGGCGGCAGAGGCACCGGGGGGCAUCCCUGGUGCUCCCCCUCCCUGGCAGGUUCGUGCUUGGGGCGGGGCAAGGGGCACUGGAGUGAGACGGACAGGACAGCGAGCCUAUUGCACAGGCCCCGGGAGGCCUGUUCAGCCGGGACAUGUGGCACCCGUGACCUUGCUGGGGAAAGAAGUGGAGAACUGGGUGUGCUGGGCCUGGCACCUCCUGUCCGGGCACCCCUGUGGUGAACCCCAGCGCCCAUCCUCAAGGCCUCAGGCACUCCUGGGCUUAAAGCAGAGAGACCCACCUCUGGCCUCCUCCCUCCAUCACUGAAGAACAAGCAGUAGGAGCCACAGCCACCUCCUCCCCCCUCCCUGCCGCCGCCUCCUCCCCGGCUCAGCCGGCAGGUUGUCUUGGCAACGGGAGGCGGAGAGGAGAUGCGCCCAGGGAUGGAGGUGUCUGUCACCGAGGAAGCUGCCGUGCUCCUGCCUCACGCCCCAGGCCCUUGAAGGCCCCGCAUCGGCCAGCAGCCUGGACAGUCACCGAGGGAUGAGGACGCUACCGCCCAGUGGGACGCCCUUUCCGCCCGCGCGGCCCCCAGCGCACAGCGCCCAGGAGCCGGGCCGAGCUUGACGCCCCGUCGCCUCCCCUCGCGCCCAGGGAUCUGCGAGUGACCCGACCACCACCUCCCGGCUGCAUGGAGCGGCUGCAGAAGCAACCACUUACCUCCCCCGGGAGCGUCAGCUCCUCCCGAGACUCCAGUGUUCCCGGCUCUCCCUCCAGCAUCGUGGCCAAGAUGGACAACCAGGUGCUGGGCUACAAAGACUUGGCUGCCCUCCCCAAGGACAAGGCCAUCCUGGACAUCGAGCGGCCUGACCUCAUGAUCUACGAGCCCCACUUCACCUAUUCUCUCCUGGAUCACGUGGAGCUGCCCAGAAGCCGGGAGCGCUCGCUGUCACCCAAAUCCACAUCCCCCCCACCGUCCCCAGAGGUGUGGGCGGAUAGCCGGUCCCCUGGAACCAUCUCUCAGGCUUCAGCCCCAAGAACCACUGGGACCCCCCGAACCAGCCUGCCCCAUUUCCACCAUCCUGAGACCACCCGCCCAGAUUCCAACAUCUACAAGAAGCCACCCAUCUACAAGCAGAGAGAGUCCAUGGGAGGCAGCCCUCAGAGCAAGCACCAGAUUGAGGACCUCAUCAUUGAGUCAUCGAAGUUCCCUGCAGCCCAGCCCCCUGACCCCAACCAGCCAGCCAAGAUCGAGACUGACUACUGGCCAUGCCCCCCAUCGCUGGCUGUUGUGGAAACAGAAUGGAGGAAGCGGAAAGCAUCCCGGAGAGGCGCAGAGGAGGAGGAGGAGGAGGACGACGAUGACUCCGGGGAGGAGAUGAAGGCCCUCAGGGAGCGCCAGAGAGAGGAACUCAGUAAGGUCACUUCCAACUUGGGAAAGAUGAUCUUGAAAGAAGAGAUGGAAAAGUCACUGCCGAUCCGGAGAAAAACCCGCUCCCUGCCCGACCGGACACCCUUUCAUGCCUCCUUGCACGGUGGAACAUCAAAGUCAUCUUCCCUCCCGGCCUACGGCAGGACCACCCUGAGCCGGCUGCAGUCCACAGACUUCAGCCCAACCGGGAGUGAGGCUGGAAGCCCAGGCCUGCAGGUGAGUGCGGUCCGGAGGAGGACGUGGAGCACAGAAGCCUGGGACAGGCAACUGGCAGUGUUGGGGGAGGGGGUGUUGGGCCACCCAGUUGCCUGGUGAGCACAUGAGAAGCCCCGGGUCAGGCUGGGGAGGUCUCCCUGCCCCACUCUGGCUCACUGCGGCUUUGGUCUCCCCAGAACGGAGAGGGCCAGAGGGGGAGGAUGGACCGGGGGAACUCCCUGCCCUGUGUGCUGGAGCAGAAGAUCUAUCCCUACGAAAUGCUGGUGGUGACCAAUAAGGGGCGAACCAAGUUGCCUCCAGGUGUGGAUCGGAUGAGGCUGGAGAGGCAUCUGUCAGCCGAGGACUUCUCCAGGGUGUUCGCCAUGUCUCCGGAAGAGUUUAGCAAGCUGGCUCUGUGGAAGCGGAAUGAGCUCAAGAAGAAGGCUUCCCUCUUCUGACCGCCCCACACUUCCUGACUGACCCUCGCCCCUGCGGCUCUCUGGAGCUGGGUCACUGGACCCUAAAGCAUCAUGUCUUGGGGGGGCACGGAGGUGGGCAGAGGUGGGGUUGGCUGCAUUCGCUAGGUCAAGGGGAGCCCAGCCUUCUCUCAGUGCUGGGCUGUGGGACAUGGACCUGCUUUCCAUAAUGAGCCAGGGGCCUCCCCUCCUCCCUAGUCCUCACUGCACAGGGCAAACCCAGGCUGGACUCCAGCACUCAGAGUUAAUGUCUGCACCCUCUCCCUGCCCCCACCCCAUGAAGAGAGGUCCCAGAAGAGGGAGUGAGGCGACCUGGACAUGGCACGUGGUGCAGGCCGGUUGAUGUCUGGAUCAGUGGGCGGGUAGAGCCCUCAGCCUGCGGAGGAGGUGAGGCAGGAAGCAGCAGGCAGGCAGGCACAGCUCCAGGACCCCAUCUGCCCAGCACUCCUCCUCGCCUCACCGGGAGGCCCCCCCUGCACCUGGGCCUCCCGCCUCUGACUCCAGCAGGAGCAAGGCUGAGCUCAGCCUCCAGCAGGGAGGCCGCCCUGCCCUCCAGUUUACCCUCUGACCUCCUUGCACAUCCUAUGCUUUGAAGCCUCAUGCUCAGCUCUGUGGCUUCCCCAGAAGCCUUGGCUUAGAGUGGAGAUGUCGCCUAUACCGAACCCCAGGCCCCCAUCAGCCUCCAGGCACAGUGAGCUAGACUCCUACCUUCUGACACCAGGAUCCUAGGCAGGACCAGGCCUUCAGGCUCCCUCGGAUGGGAACAAGAGGCCAGGCCACCAGGUCCCACCCAUACCCAUGCAUCCCCCACCAUGCUCUCUAAAGAAUGUAAUUUAUUGGGGCACCCCAGCUGCUUCCUCACCCAACUCUCUGCCCUACCUAAUCACAUUCCCAGCUUUUCUUCUCUACAAAUACAUAUGUGUAUAUAAUUAUAUAUAUAUAUUUUUUGCCCAGGUCUGGGUUUUGUUCCUGCCCAGACCCUGGCAUCCCUUUCCACUGUGUGUAUGUGUGAGAUGAUACUGGGGGAGGGGAACUCUGCUUGGAAUUAAAAGGUUGCAUUGGGUCCCCAAA